rnacentral:rRNA from 1 species
CUACGGGCGGCUCCAGUGGGGAAUAUUGCACAAUGGAGGAAACUCUGACGCAGCAACGCCGCGUGGAGGAUGACACUUUUCGGAGCGUAAACUCCUUUUAUAUAGGAAGAAGAUGACGGUACUAUAUGAAUAAGCGCCGGCUAACUCCGUGCCAGCAGCCGCGGUAAUACGGAGGGCGCAAGCGUUACUCGGAAUCACUGGGCGUAAAGAGCGUGUAGGCGGAUUAAAAAGUCAGAAGUGAAAUCCUAUAGCUUAACUAUAGAACUGCUUCUGAAACUCUUAAUCUAGAAUAUGGGAGAGGUAGAUGGAAUUUCUGGUGUAGGGGUAAAAUCCGUAGAGAUCAGAAGGAAUACCGAUUGCGAAGGCGAUCUACUAGAACAUUAUUGACGCUGAGACGCGAAAGCGUGGGGAGCAAACAGGAUUAGAUACCCCGGUAGUC